rnacentral:rRNA from 1 species
CCCGCUGAACUUAAGCAUAUCAAUAAGCGGAGGAAAAGAAACUAACAAGGAUUCCCCUAGUAACUGCGAGUGAAGCGGGAAAAGCUCAAAUUUAAAAUCUGGUGGUCUCUGGCCAUCCGAGUUGUAAUUUAGAGAAGCGUCUUCCGCGCUGGACCGUGCACAAGUCUCCUGGAAUGGAGCGUCGUAGAGGGUGAGAAUCCCGUCUUUGGCACGGAUGCACCAGGGCUUCUGUGAUGCGCUCUCGAAGAGUCGAGUUGUUUGGGAAUGCAGCUCAAAAUGGGUGGUGAACUCCAUCUAAAGCUAAAUAUUGGCGAGAGACCGAUAGCGAACAAGUACCGUGAGGGAAAGAUGAAAAGCACUUUGGAAAGAGAGUGAAACAGUACGUGAAAUUGUUGAAAGGGAAACGCUUGAAGUCAGUCGCGUCGCCCGAGACUCAGCCUCGCCUCGGCUUGGUGUACUUCUCGGCCGACGGGUCAGCAUCAAUUUUGCCCCUUGGAUAAUGGCGAGGGAAAUGUGACACCUUUACGGGUGUGUUAUAGUCUCUCGUCGCAUGCAAGGGUCGGGAUUGAGGAACUCAGCACGCGCCUUUGGGCGUCGGGGUUCGCCCACGAUACGUGCUUAGGAUGUUGGCAUAAUGGCUUUAAACGACCCGUCUUGAAACACGG